rnacentral:tRNA from 5 species
ACUUGGUUAGCUUAGUCGGUAAAGCGUUUGUUUUGUAAUCAAAAGAUCAGCGGUUCAAAUCCGCUACUAAGCU